rnacentral:rRNA from 1 species
GCUCAGGCCCUAUCAGCCUGAAGGUGCCCGAUCUCGUCUGAUCUCGGAAGCAUAAGUUGGUUUUAAAUCUUAAGUUAAAAUGCACUUAGCC